rnacentral:rRNA from 1 species
AUGUCGAAGGGAAAGUCGGGCUUCUUCGGCGUGAGGCAGAAGCCCUUCGGUAGCUGCGGAGUGGAGUUCCCCGACGCCGGGGGGGCAUUGGUGGAUUGGCACGUACCCCUCCGCCCACGAGGCCGCGCGUGCCUACGACGUGGUGGUGUGGCGUGCCAAGAGGCCUCGGGAGCACCUCAACUUCCCAGAGAGCGAGAGUCGGGUGGAAGCGGAGAUGCUUGUGCCGCAGGGCAUCAAGAUGAAGGAGAUCACGACGAAGAAGAAGACGACGAAGAAGCCAUCGGUUGUCGUCAAUGCUAG